UACGGGGGGGGCAAGCGUUGUUCGGAUUUACUGGGCGUAAAGGGCGCGUAGGCGGUCGUGACAAGUCACUUGUGAAAUCUCCGGGCUUAACUCGGAACGGUCAAGUGAUACUGUCGGACUAGAGUACAGAAGGGGCAACUGGAAUUCUCGGUGUAGCGGUGAAAUGCGUAGAUAUCGAGAGGAACACCUGCGGCGAAGGCGGGUUGCUGGGCUGAUACUGACGCUGAUGCGCGAAAGCCAGGGGAGCGAACGGG
rnacentral:rRNA from 1 species